rnacentral:rRNA from 1 species
CCUACGGGAGGCAGCAGUAGGGAAUCUUCCGCAAUGGACGAAAGUCUGACGGAGCAACGCCGCGUGAGCGAUGAAGGUUUUCGGAUCGUAAAGCUCUGUUGUUAGGGAAGAACAAGUAUCGGAGUAACUGCCGGUACCUUGACGGUACCUAACCAGAAAGCCACGGCUAACUACGUGCCAGCAGCCGCGGUAAUACGUAGGUGGCAAGCGUUGUCCGGAUUUAUUGGGCGUAAAGUGCGCGCAGGCGGUUCUUUAAGUCUGAUGUGAAAUCUUGCGGCUCAACCGCAAGCGGUCAUUGGAAACUGGGGGACUUGAGUACAGAAGAGGAAAGCGGAAUUCCACGUGUAGCGGUGAAAUGCGUAGAGAUGUGGAGGAACACCAGUGGCGAAGGCGGCUUUCUGGUCUGUAACUGACGCUGAGGCGCGAAAGCGUGGGGAGCA